rnacentral:rRNA from 1 species
GACGAACGCUGGCGGCGUGCCUAAUACAUGCAAGUCGAGCGAGCGGAACCAACAGAUUUACUUCGGUGAUGACGUUGGGAAAGCGAGCGGCGGAUGGGUGAGUAACACGUGGGGAACCUGCCCCUAAGUCUGGGAUACCAUUUGGAAACAGAUGCUAAUACCGGAUAAUAAAGCAGAUCGCAUGAUCAGCUUUUGAAAGGCGGCGUAAGCUGUCGCUAAGGGAUGGCCCCGCGGUGCAUUAGCUAGUUGGUAAGGUAACGGCUUACCAAGGCGACGAUGCAUAGCCGAGUUGAGAGACUGAUCGGCCACAUUGGGACUGAGACACGGCCCAAACUCCUACGGGAGGCAGCAGUAGGGAAUCUUCCACAAUGGACGCAAGUCUGAUGGAGCAACGCCGCGUGAGUGAAGAAGGUUUUCGGAUCGUAAAGCUCUGUUGUUGGUGAAGAAGGAUAGAGGUAGUAACUGGCCUUUAUUUGACGGUAAUCAACCAGAAAGUCACGGCUAACUACGUGCCAGCAGCCGCGGUAAUACGUAGGUGGCAAGCGUUGUCCGGAUUUAUUGGGCGUAAAGCGAGCGCAGGCGGAAAAAUAAGUCUAAUGUGAAAGCCCUCGGCUUAACCGAG